rnacentral:rRNA from 1 species
GAUGAACGCUGGCGGCGUGCCUAAUACAUGCAAGUCGAACGCAUUGAGAGAAGUGCUUGCACUUUUCAAUUUGAGUGGCGAACGGGUGAGUAACACGUGGGCAACCUACCUGAUAGCGGGGGAUAACGAGUGGAAACAUUCGCUAAUACCGCAUAACAAUAGAGAAGGCAUCUUCUUUAUUUAAAAGGCGCUUUCAAGCGUCACUAUCAGAUGGGCCCGCGGUGCAUUAGUUAGUUGGUGGGGUGAAGGCCUACCAAGACGAUGAUGCAUAGCCGAGUUGAGAGACUGAUCGGCCACAUUGGGACUGAGACACGGCCCAAACUCCUACGGGAGGCUGCAGUAGGGAAUCUUCCACAAUGGACGAAAGUCUGAUGGAGCAACGCCGCGUGUGUGAUGAAGGCUUUCGGGUCGUAAAGCACUGUUGUAUGGGAAGAGAUGCUAGGCUAGGAAAUGAGCUUAGUUUGACGGUACCAUACCAGAAAGGGACGGCUAAAUACGUGCCAGCCGCCGCCGUAA